UACAGAGGUCCCAAGCGUUGUUCGGAUUCAUUGGGCGUAAAGGGUAUGUAGGUGGCGCCGUAAGUCGGGUGUGAAAUCUCGGGGCUUAACUCCGAAACUGCAUUCGAUACUGCGGUGCUUGAGGACUGGAGAGGAGACUGGAAUUCAUGGUGUAGCAGUGAAAUGCGUAGAGAUCAUGAGGAAGACCAGUGGCGAAGGCGGGUCUCUGGACAGUUCCUGACACUGAGACACGAAGGCCAGGGGAGCAAACGGG
rnacentral:rRNA from 1 species